AGCAGCGUGGCUCAGUGGAAAGAGCCCGGGCUUGGGAGUCAGAAGUCAUGGGUUCGAAUCCCAGCUCUGCCA
rfam:Ornithorhynchus anatinus chromosome 7, whole genome shotgun sequence.